rnacentral:rRNA from 1 species
UACGAAGGGGGCUAGCGUUGUUCGGAAUCACUGGGCGUAAAGCGUACGUAGGCGGACCAUUAAGUCGGGGGUGAAAUCCCAGGGCUCAACCCUGGAACUGCCUUCUAUACUGGUGGUCUGGAGUCUGGGAGAGGUGAGUGGAACUCCUAGUGUAGAGGUGAAAUUCGUAGAUAUUAGGAAGAACACCAGUGGCGAAGGCGGCUCACUGGCCCGGUACUGACGCUGAGGUACGAAAGCGUGGGGAGCAAACAGG